GACAGAGGUGCCGAGCGUUAGGCGGAAUCACUGGGCUUAAAGCGCGUGUAGGCGGAUCGUUAAGUGCCUUGUGAAAUCCCACGGCUCACCCGUGGAACUGCUGGGCAUACUGGGAGUCUUGAGCCACCUAGGGGCGAGCGGAACAAAUGGUGGAGCGGUGAAAUGCGUAGAUAUCAUUUGGAACGCCAACGGAGAAAUCAGCUCGCUGGGGGUGUGCUGACGCUGAGACACGAAAGCCAGGGGAGCGAACGGG
rnacentral:rRNA from 1 species